GUGGUCCCACCUGACCCCAUGCCGAACUCAGAAGUGAAACGCCGUAGCGCCGAUGGUAGUGUGGGGCUUCCCCAUGCGAGAGUAGGGAACUGCCAGGC
rnacentral:rRNA from 1 species